GUCCACGCCGUAAACGAUGAGUGCUAGGUGUCGGCGAGCAUGCUCGUCGGUGCCGCAGCUAACGCAUUAAGCACUCCGCCUGGGGAGUACGGCCGCAAGGUUAAAACUCAAAGGAAUUGACGGGGGCCCCGCACAAGCGGUGGAGCAUGUGGUUUAAUUCGACGCAACGCGCAGAACCUUACCAGCCCUUGACAUGCCUGUCGCGGGGACGAGAGAUCGCCCCCUUCGGUUCGGCCGGACAGUGCACAGGUGCUGCAUGGCUGUCGU
rnacentral:rRNA from 1 species